UAAAAAUUUCAAUGCUAUAAAUAUUGCCUUAAUUAAAGCGGGUAAGGAAGCUUUUAUAUUUAAUGAAAUGGAGAAGAAGCUUAUUAAGGGGUUUAUGGAAUUCUUGGCAAUUUUUGAAAAAGCCACCACAUAUUUACAAGGCCGAAGUUAUCCAACAAUUUGCAGUGCAAUAUUUUUUUACGAAAAUAUUUUAAGCCAGCUCGAAAAUAAUGAAAGCGUGGCUGAAUUUGGAAUAAUGAUUUCGUUAUACAACUUUACGAAAGAAAACUUUAACAAACGUUUUAAAAUAAAAAAAAUUCAUGUUGUCGCCGCGUUGCUGGAUCCGUGCCAACGUAACUGGCCAAUUUUGGACAAUUGGUUAAAAAAAAUUCCAAAGAACAGCCAAAUGGAUUUAAACCAAGUUUUAGAUGUUGAGUACACCGAAGGCCUCUAUAUCACAAAAGAAGAUUUAAUUUAUAAAGAAUUAUUAAAAAUAUUAAAUGACAAUCCCCCAGCUCCCGUUGAGCAUAUUGUUGAACAACCCGGACCUUCAAAAAAAACCGGUGAGUAAAAAAACAUAUAAAUUCAUAUGUAAGUUUCUAUAAUCUUCAUGUAUUCAAACACUUUCAAUUACAGAAGAUAUCCCAACUUCGAAAGGAAAUGUUAGAUUUUGUGGCAUCAACCAGCACGCAAACAACAAGCCAUUCCAACAUCUCACGGGAAAUAAAAACAUACUUUGAUGCACCACAGGAAGAUUUGGAAUGUUUAGAAUGGUGGAAAAAAAAUGAAGAGUAUUAUCCCAACUUAUCCAAAUUGGCUAAUUUUUGUUUUGGGAUUCCUGCCACUUCCGCAUCAUCAGAGGAAGCAUUUUCUGUAGCUGGGGCAUGUAUAACCGCCAAGAGAAGCCGACUAAAUCCCUUUACCGUAAAGAGACAACUAUUUGUGCACGAUAACAACCAUUUGGUAGAGCCAAUACUAAAUAUUAAGUAAUUUUCCUAUUAAAAUCCAGACUGUGCCAAUCAAAAGUACUACGAUCUCUUUAAUUUUAUGUUUAUUUUUAUUUAUUAAUUGUUAAAUGAAUAAAACAUUGUUUUUUACGUUUUGUUUAA